CGCGGGGACAGCAGUCUAAUGCCGGGUACACGCUACACAAGAAUUAAUCCAAUUUUGGGCCUGAUUCUCCCGACAAUCGUCAGCAAAGCCGUGAUUUUUUGAUAGUUCUAAAUAUUAUCUUUCCAGAUAUUCCUGUGGUGUGAGGAAUGUUAAAAUUAGGGCUGUCAA